rnacentral:rRNA from 1 species
AAACGACUGCUAAUACCGCAUGACGCAUAGAGGUCGCAUGAUCUUUAUGCCAAAGAUUUAUCGCUUCAAGAUGGCCUCGCGUCUGAUUAGCUGGUUGGCGGGGUAACGGCUCACCAAGGCGACGAUCAGUAGCCGGACUGAGAGGUUGAACGGCCACAUUGGGACUGAGAUACGGCCCAGACUCCUACGGGAGGCAGCAGUGGGGAAUAUUGGGCAAUGGGCGCAAGCCUGACCCAGCAACGCCGCGUGAAGGAAGAAGGCUUUCGGGUUGUAAACUUCUUUUAAGAGGGAAGAGCAGAAGACGGUACCUCUAGAAUAAGCCACGGCUAACUACGUGCCAGCAGCCGCGGUAAUACGUAGGUGGCAAGCGUUGUCCGGAUUUACUGGGUGUAAAGGGCGUGCAGCCGGGUCUGCAAGUCAGAUGUGAAAUCCAUGGGCUCAACCCAUGAACUGCAUUUGAAACUGUAGAUCUUGAGUGUCGGAGGGGCAAUCGGAAUUCCUAGUGUAGCGGUGAAAUGCGUAGAUAUUAGGAGGAACACCAGUGGCGAAGGCGGAUUGCUGGACGAUAACUGACGGUGAGGCGCGAAAGUGUGGGGAGCAAACAGGAUUAGAUACCCUGGUAGUCCACACUGUAAACGAUGAAUACUAGGUGUGCGGGGACUGACCCCCUGCGUGCCGCAGUAAACACAAUAAGUAUUCCACCUG